rnacentral:lncRNA from 1 species
AGGCUUUGGGUCGGGCGUGGGCUUGGGAUCAGGCUUUGGCCCCGGUUUAGGGUCGGGCUGCGGGUCUGGUUUGGGGUCGGGCUUGGGCGUCGGGUCAGGUUUUGGCGCCGGUUUAGGGUCGGGCUUGGGUGUUGGGUCAGGUUUUGGCGCCGGUUUUGGGUCUGGCUGCGGGUCUGGUUUCGGGUCAGGUUUUGGCGCGAGUUUAGGGUCGGGCUUAGGUGUCGGCGCGAGUUUAGGGUCGGUCUGCGGGUCUGGUUUGGGGUCAGGCUGUGGCGUAGGCUUCGGCUCUAGGCUGGGCUCAUGUUUCAGCUCCGGCGCCCUCCCAGCGACGGCGAGGCUAGCAACAUUUGCCGCGACGAGGGCCA